AUCCUUCAUAUGUGUGAAUGGAGGGUAAUGUUUCCUGAUUACGUUUUAGCUUCACUAUCCAGACAGCAGCCAGUGCUCCACGGGUUUGCUGCUCGUGCCUGAGGAGAAGGCAGCAGUAAGAUCCUGACCCACUCGAGAGCCCCUGUCUGCUCAGCAGCCAUGUGAUCGUGUGCUGUGCCUGUCACUUCUGAGGCUCUGUGGCUAUGAGAAGUCCUUCUGGAGCUCAUUUCCAAGGUGGAAUGCUUUGCCAUGCCUGGGUUAACAAAGCCUACCCCUUACCCCAGCUCACUGAUGGCUGUGUUAUCUACUGGACCGGAGCUCUUUUGUCCAUCAAGGGGGGAAUCUUUUACGAUGAGGAUUGACUGGCGUGAUUCUGUGUGAGCAACAACAAUAAUAAUCAACAGAGAAAACUACAGCCCAGCAUUUGCUUUCUCUGAGGCAAAUCAAUUAGAGUAAGGACACUGGAUCUCCCUGGAUC